UACGUAGGGUGCAAGCGUUGUCCGGAAUUACUGGGCGUAAAGCGCGCGUAGGCAGACCUGCAAGUCGGGGGUGAAAGCCCGAGGCUCAACCUCGGAACUGCCUUCGAUACUGCGGGUCUCGAGUCCGGGAGAGGUGAGUGGAAUUCCUAGUGUAGAGGUGAAAUUCGUAGAUAUUAGGAAGAACACCAGUGGCGAAGGCGGCUCACUGGCCCGGUACUGACGCUGAGGCGCGAAAGCUAGGGGAGCAAACGGG
rnacentral:rRNA from 1 species